UCUCUUCUCCUGGGCUUUGCUCUGCUCUGACCCGGGGGAACCCCCGGGACGCACCGAGCUCCUUCUGUCCCUCGGAUAAACCAGAUCCAAACCCUUCCCGAGGCAAAGGACACUUGAAACCCCAGGUGGGCAGCUCUGCCUGUCGCUCUCUCUCUCUCUCUCGCUCAGCUCUCGGGAAUGGUUCAGCUCCUCCUCUCUCUAAUUCUUCCACCCUUUUUUUUGUAAGAGCUCCGCGGAGCCGGUGCCGGUUCGGGUGGUUGUUUCCCGCACGGGGACCGGCUCAGGCGGUCGUUGCCAUGGAAAUAGGAAGCCUGGCGUGGAUGGGAAGCAGCGGGAAGCGUGCAGGGCAGGAUUCGAGCACUAGAUGCUGCUCUUGCUCCAGACUGAAAGCGAAGCGAUGAUGUAAAAACAGGAUUGGAAAAAUCUGGCUUUUUGAUGCCACUGAAGUCGCUGAGUCCUGAGGGCACUUUAAUGAACUGGAGAUUGGGUGAAAGCCUGAUGAACUUUUGAAGAAUUACAGUCAGAGGUCAAUUCUAGACAAGUAAAAUCCCACAGCAAACUCGCAUUUGCUCCUGUGUCAAAGACUGAAGGACAUUCCUCCACAUUCCCUUUGCUCAACGCCCUGUGAAAUGAAUUCCAUGGAUUUGCCUCUUUGAAUGGCAAAUCCAUAAACCCGAAACAGAAAGUCGGGACAGAACCAAGCUGGUUGUUUCCUCAGUGGGUUUGAACAGUCCAGGGAAAGGGGAAGUUUGGUGGACGUGGUGCUUGAAAAAAAAGAGAUGGUGUU